UACGUAGGGUGCGAGCGUUAAUCGGAAUUACUGGGCGUAAAGCGUGCGCAGGCGGUUCGCUAAGUUUGAUGUGAAAGCCCCGGGCUCAACCUGGGAACUGCAUUGGAAACUGGCGAGCUUGAAUGCGGCAGAGGGGGGUGGAAUUCCGCGUGUAGCAGUGAAAUGCGCAGAUAUCAGGAGGAACACCCGUGGCGAAGGCGGCUCUCUGGGACGGUACUGACGCUGAGACGCGAAAGCGUGGGGAGCAAACAGG
rnacentral:rRNA from 1 species